ensembl:lncRNA
AUAAUCCUAUCCAGCUACACCGAACCAACAGAACACUGCGACAGAAAAUAAACAGUUUGAGUUGGUGUAUUUUGGAACUAUGAAGCUACUGGAUUAUGUGACAGGUGACGCAAUGAAAUCACCUGCAGAUGCUUCUUGAUUUGAUCAUCAUGUCUUCUGUUCUCUUCUUCCAAGGACAGGAUAUCACUCUGAGGGAGAAACCUCAUUGAUGUACUUGGUAAGAGUGACAUUUUUCUGCUCCUUCUGGGCAAUCACGAGGCCCAUUUGACACAGCUCCGUCUCCCCGGUGACCUCCACUAGCGUUCUGUAGCCCUGCUUGUACAUCUCCAGGUUCUCAGCGCCAUUCAGGUGUGGUGUUUUGUUCUCUGUGACAACGAAUUUCUGCAGUUGGGCAUUGAUGAGCGUCUCCAGCGCCGACCUUCUCGUCAUGAACUGAGCCGUCUCCACCUUGAGGUCCUCCUCCAACUCCGAAAUGCGGGUCUCGACAUGUAACCUGUAGCGCAACACAAACACACAGCUUAUAUCUCUAUAAACAUCUCUAUAUGUUUCCGAUCUGCCCUUUAACACUUGAAUUACCUCCGGUCGAAAAGGAGGGCAAGAUCCUGCUCCAGUUUCUCUGACAGGAUUUUCUGAUGGGCCAACUGUCUGUUGGACUCACUUUUGCACAGUGAGUCUUUCAUCUGUAGCAGGUGUUCAACUGCUUUACGGUAUUCUGUGUUCCUG